rnacentral:rRNA from 1 species
UACAGAGGGGGCCAGCGUUAUUCGGAAUUAUUGGGCGUAAAGGGCGCGUAGGCGGCCAUGCGUGUCUUUCGUGAAAUCCCUCGGCUUAACUGAGGACGUGCGGAAGAAACUGCAAGGCUUGAGUCCGGGAGAGGGGGGUGGAAUUCCCAGUGUAGCGGUGAAAUGCGUAGAUAUUGGGAAGAACACCUGAGGCGAAGGCGGGUUGCUGGGCUGACACUGACGCUGAGGCGCGAAAGCCAGGGGAGCAAACGGG